rnacentral:rRNA from 1 species
UACGUAGGGGGCAAGCGUUGUCCGGAAUCAUUGGGCGUAAAGAGCGUGUAGGCGGCCAGAUAAGUCCGCUGUGAAAUCUCGAGGCUCAACUUCGAGCUGUCGGUGGAAACUGUCUGGCUAGAGUCCGGAAGAGGAGAAUGGAAUUCCUGGUGUAGCGGUGAAAUGCGCAGAUAUCAGGAAGAACACCGGUGGCGAAGGCGGUCUCUCGUGGGCUACCUGACGCUGAGGAGCGAAGACGUGGGUAGCGAACAGG